rnacentral:rRNA from 1 species
GACGAACGCUGGCGGCGUGCUUAACACAUGCAAGUCGAGCGGAAAGGCCCUGCUUUUGUGGGGUGCUCGAGUGGCGAACGGGUGAGUAACACGUGAGUAACCUGCCCUUGACUUUGGGAUAACUUCAGGAAACUGGGGCUAAUACCGGAUAGGAGCUCCUGCUGCAUGGUGGGGGUUGGAAAGUUUCGGCGGUUGGGGAUGGACUCGCGGCUUAUCAGCUUGUUGGUGGGGUAGUGGCUUACCAAGGCUUUGACGGGUAGCCGGCCUGAGAGGGUGACCGGCCACAUUGGGACUGAGAUACGACCCAGACUCCUACGGGAGGCAGCAGUGGGGAAUAUUGCACAAUGGGCGGAAGCCUGAUGCAGCAACGCCGCGUGCGGGAUGACGGCCUUCGGGUUGUAAACCGCUUUCGCCUGUGACGAAGCGUGAGUGACGGUAAUGGGUAAAGAAGCACCGGCUAACUACGUG